ACUGCAGGCUGCGCUAUCGUGGUCCCGGUCCGCCCGGGGCUAAGGAAAGUCCGGACAGCACAGAGCAGCGCACCACCUAACGGGUGGGUCUUCCGUUGCAGACGGAAGAACAGAAAGUGCCACAGAAAAUAACCGCUUCGCCGGCCAUCAAUGGGCUGGCGGAGCAAGGGUGAAAACGGGAGGUAAGAGCUCCCGGGGUCGGUCUGCAAAGAUUGACCCGGGCAAACCUUGCGCGCUGAAAUGCCAAAUAGUCCCUGCUAUCUGUUCCACUGGAACAGUCAUGGGCUGCUCGUUCAUGGUCACCUCUGGUGGCGGCAGGGCGGGUGGGCAGAUAGAUCCUGGCAGCGAUGCCAGGACCAGAUAAAUGAUAGCGGUCCGCCGAAAGGCGGAUACAGAAUCCGGCUUACAGGCCUGCAGUUGCU
rnacentral:RNase_P_RNA from 1 species